AGAGUAUUUAAUUAUGGUUCUUUAUUUUCACAGAAAUCUUAGUACAUAGUGCUUUAGGGGGUAAGGGUGGACCCGACAUUAGUAUACAUUUUUAGGCAACGCAAGAAAUUGCGGUCUAGGGAUUUCGAGAAUAGUGACUAAGUGAAUGCCAGCAGUCGCGGUUAGAUUCACAUCUUUUGAAAAUAGUAACAGUUAGGCUAGACAAAUAAAUUGCCGCAAUUGUUCCAAUUAUCUGAGAGGUGUAAUUUUAUGUAGAAGGUAGCCUAUUCUUGUCUUGUUUGUUCUUGCGUAAGCGUAAGUGGAGACUGGGAUUAGAGACCCCAUUAUUUGCGAAGUAAAAUUUAAAAUACUUGGUCACUAAAGGUUUGUUCUUGAAAGUUAAAUAAUUAGGCGGUUCUCAAUAAACAAACAGGGGAAUCUGGGGGUUUAAAGAUGAUCCACUUAGAUUCUGCCCUGUCUUUAUUGCGUGUGUAUGGUUGUUUUAAACUGAUAUAUAAAAAUAUUGGUAAUAUGCCAGAAGUUGGCGUAAAUUCAGAUUUACAUGUAGCUAUAGACAGGUCAACCUGGAUGACAUUUGGCAGCACAAAUCUGAUGCCUUAGGUGAAACCCAAGGCGGAUGGAGGACUUGUUAGUAAGUUAAAUUACACAAUAAAUUGUUGAAUGGGAUACUGAGGGAGUACUAAUCGCCCGUCGCUCACGGAGUUAAUCCGAGAUAAGUCGUAACAAGGUAACGGUACUGGAAAGUGUUGUUAGAUGUAG
rnacentral:ncRNA from 1 species